GAUCAUGGCUCAGGAUGAACGCUAGCUACAGGCUUAACACAUGCAAGUCGAGGGGCAGCAUGGUCUUAGCUUGCUAAGGCCGAUGGCGACCGGCGCACGGGUGAGUAACACGUAUCCAACCUGCCGUCUACUCUUGGACAGCCUUCUGAAAGGAAGAUUAAUACAAGAUGGCAUCAUGAGCCCACAUGUUCACAUGAUUAAAGGUAAUUCCGGUAGACGAUGGGAG
rnacentral:rRNA from 1 species